rnacentral:miRNA from 1 species
GCAGACACAUUCCAGCCAAUCAGCAGCAGACUCUCCCUCCCAGACCCUCCCACCUCCUGGACAGCUCACUAAGAAUGCAGCUUCACAAUGAAUGUAAAAUGGAUGCUGUCCAGGAGGUGGGAGGGUCUGGGAGGGAGGGUCUGAUGCUGAUUGGCUGGAAUGUGUCUG